UGAAUAUGUUCCAUUAUUGUAUGUCUUUUUGACAAUAUAAGAUCCAAACAAUCUCUUUGCAAACUUCUUCAUAGUGCUAUGUUGAUUUUUUAAGCUACUAUCAUAAACUAAUACUCAAUCACCAUCUUCAAUAGCCUUAGGUCAUAAUUGAUGUUUUUUAUCAAAUCUUUCCUUAUUCUUUUCCCUUGCUUCUUUCAAUUUUUUUAUUGCUAUUUCAAUAUUAUUGGAUCUUCUUUCUAAUUUUUGAAUCCAUAAUACUAAAAUUUCUUCUCUGUUGAAAUCAUUCUUCCAAGGUAAUAUACUCCAUGUAGAUACUACAUCUUCUAUUGGCAUUACUAGUUUUUAUCCAUAUAUUAAUUCAAAAGGCAUAUAACAUGUUACCGAACUAUGAGUUGUACGAUCUGCCCACAAUAAAAAUAGUAGUAGUCUAGGCCAUUCAUGUGCUUUGCCAUUUCAUGCCUUUACUAAUGCCUUAACAAUAGGUGAAUGUCCACGCUCACUUUUACUAUUAUCUUCUGGGUUAUAUAUUGUUAUUAAAGAAAGUUUAAUUCCUAUUCUACUAAAGAAUUUUCAUGCUUCCUUUGCAUCCAAUUCACUCGUAUCCACCGUAAUUUUUUCAAUACAACCAUAG
rnacentral:lncRNA from 1 species